GACAAGCUUUUAUAUAGCGCCUCUCUAAAUAAAAACCACAAGGACUUCACAAAAAACAAAAAAACUUUUUUAAGUAUAAAAAGAUUUAAAAAAUGGUUAAAAAUAUGUUUAAAAGGAGAAAAGGACAAAAAAGUAAAGAAAGGGAGAGAAUAGGAAUGAGGGAAAUUAAUGGCUCCCGGGAAAGGCAGAAUAGAACAGAAUAAGGAGAGAGUGGUGAUGAUAGAACGAGAUCGCGGACACAAGCAUCAGAAAACAGUUUUCUCCGCAGGGUGUCUGGGCUCUCCCUUAGAAAUAGGGUGAGAAGCUCGGUCACCCGGGAGGGGCGGAGUAGACUCGCUGCUCCUCCACGUCAAGAGGAGCCAGUUGAGGGGGCUCGGGCGCCUCUCUGGUGAGGUUUUCCGGGCACGUCCAACUGGAAGGAGACCCAAGGAAAGACCCUGGACACGCUUGGAGGGUCAAUGUCUCUCGGUUGGCCAGGAAGCGCCUUGGGAUUCCCCCGAAGGAGCUUUGGCUGCUGGCCCCGCGACCCGAUUCCAAAUAAGCAGCUGAAAAUGGAUGAUCUAGGAACAUCUGCGGCCCCUUCGUAACCUUCUGGCAGGCCAUCGACAGACAUUAAUACCAUUAAAAGUUUAAUUUUUUCAAAGUAUGCCGUAAUUUAAUUCUUUAGGGAGACAGAGAGCGGCUGUGAGGCGUAAACAACGGCAUUCGAUGGCUGUGUCUCAAUUCAGGGUCUGCAUCCUACCUCGGCCGGAUUCGUCGGCCGGUUACGUCACAGCGCCGCGACUCGGCCUGUCCCAAUUCGAAGACUCCUUCAAAUGCGGUCGACGAAUGCGGCCUUCUUUUCGCCUGAAUGAAGGAUGGGUCGGGUGUAUCCUUCAAUAGGUAGCAUUUCCCAAGAUGCCUUGCGGGCCGGCCGGCAGAGAAACUUAAAAACAAUGGCGGACAGUGAAGCGGGAGCUGUCGGAGAGGAUUGCGCAUAUAAAUGUAAGUAUAAACUUGAAAACUGUCAGUUUAAGGACUUUUUGUGAUACAUGAACGUUAUUUUAGUUAGAAAUGUAACAGUAAAAGUGCUUGUAUUGCGGUCUCGGCUCGUAUGUUCGGCCGCGCUCGGUGUCGUACUUCUCCCGCUACGUUUCCCCCUGAUUUUAAUUGAAGUUUGUAUUUUAGGACCAAAAGAGAAAACCAGGGAAUUUAUUAAGCUUAGGGCGGAGAUGGACCACAUGAUCACCGGAGCAAAGUAUUCGGCGGCUGUGGCAUGGAGACUAUUCUGGAGAAAAUGGGCAUCCAGGGGAAGGUGCCAGCGAUGACCAGCAUCUGGAGCUGAUCUGGGAGGAAUUGAGGCUGCAGAGGGAGGCAGAGCAGCAGAGAGCACAGGAGAGAAGGAAGAACUUUGACAGCUUUUUACUUUGCUAGAAAAAAUGGUUAAGGAAGAUUAAACAUGUACAUGUAAAAGAAAUAUCUAAAUAAAAUCAGUUCUGCAUUAAACUCUUGAAUUUUAUUUUUGUUUACAAAUGAGAAUUGUUUACUAGAGGGUAUCCGCUGGGUCUUGAAAAGUCUUAAAAGGUGAUAAAUCGGUUUUGGUCAAAUUAAGACCCUUAGAAAGUAUUAAAAACUAUUAUCACAUCUUUGCUCAUGCUCAGCUUGUCUAAAGUAUUUUCUCUGAAUUAGCUCUCCAACAGUCAAGGAAAUGAUUAACCCCCAGAGACCCACGGUUGUAAUAUUACAACAUCAGAUUUAA